GUGCUCGCUUUGACAGCAGCACAUGUACUAAAAUUGGAAUGAUACAGAGAAAAUUAGCAUGGCCCCUGCACAAGGAUGACAUGCAAGUUCGUGAAGCAUUCCAUAUUUUA
rnacentral:snRNA from 1 species